rnacentral:lncRNA from 1 species
AAUAGGAGACAAUGUACCAUCAUAGUCCAAAAACAUUAUUAUUUGUUUCCCUUUUGAAGCAUUUAUAAUUUCCUCGAACAUGUCCAAAGCAGGGGGAUGAUGAACCUAUCCAAUUACACUAAAAAAGAUUAACACUUCAUUUGUAAUUUUUUUGUUCAAAGCAAAUUUAUUAAUGAAUAAAAGACUCACAAUCCAAGACUUGAGAUUUUCAGUUUCAGAGUCAAAGCUGAGGGAUGAUGAACCUAUUCAAUUAUAUUAAAACAAGAGGAAGUUAAAACCACAUAAAAAAUCGUUGUAAUCCAAGCCAUUUGUAAUCUUUUUGUUUUAAACAAAUUUAUUAAUGAAUAAAAG